rnacentral:rRNA from 1 species
AUUGAACGCUGGCGGCAGGCCUAACACAUGCAAGUCGAGCGAGCGGCGGACGGGUGAGUAAUGUAUGGGGACUGCCCGAUAUAGGGGGAUAACUACUUGAAACGGUGGCUAAUACCGCAUUCUGUCGGCUGACCCAUAUGGGAUUAGCUAGUAGGUAAGGUAAUGGCUUACCUAGGCGACGAUCCCUAGCUGGUCUGAGAGGAUGAUCAGCCACACUGGGACUGAGAAACGGCCCAGACUCCUACGGAGGCAGCAGUGGGGAAUAUUGCACAAUGGGCGCAAGCCUGAUGCAGCCAUGCCGCGUGUAUGAAGAAGGCCCUAGGGUUGUAAAGUACUUUCAGUCGGGAGGCGUUACCGACAGAAGAAGCACCGGCUAACUCCGUGCCAGCAGCCGCGGUAAUAC